rnacentral:lncRNA from 1 species
AUACAAGAGGACAAGAAGAAAUAGACCUUUCCAGAAACAUGGCCCGUGACACGAGAUGACUCCUUCAUUAGUUUGCCUCAAGUGGCUGAGGGGCAUGGAGUGCUGCCUUGCACAUGCACGUGAUGCAAAGAAAUGAAAAGAAUGAGAAUGCUCUACAGACAUCACAUCAGAAAGAAAACACUCGCAUGGGCCAGUAUGGAGUGGACAGAGGAACAGGAGUGACAGAGUUCAGGGGCAGAGGAAGAAGACACGGACCAGAUGAGGUGAGAAACAGCCUCCUCUGUCAGCAGGGCCCUGGCAGGGUGCUCAUUACCGUUGACUUCUCACCACCCUUCCCGCACACUAGACGAUCAGUCGAGGCUGGCUGUGGUAAUUCCAUUCG